AACGAACGCUGGCGGCGUGCUUAACACAUGCAAGUCGAACGCGAAAGGGACUUCGGUCCUGAGUAGAGUGGCGCACGGGUGAGUAACGCGUAAGUAAUCUACCCCUGUAUCUGGAAUAACCCACCGAAAGGUGAGCUAAUACCGGAUACGUUCAGACUGGUGCGAAUCAGAGUGAAGAAAGGUGGCCUCUUCUUGAAAGCUACUGUACAGGGACGAGCUUGCGUACCAUUAGCUAGUUGGUAGGGUAAUGGCCUACCAAGGCGACGAUGGUUAGCGGGUCUGAGAGGAUGAUCCGCCACACUGGGACUGAGACACGGCCCAGACUCCUACGGGAGGCAG
rnacentral:rRNA from 1 species